UAGGGAAUCUUCGGCAAUGGGGGCAACCCUGACCGAGCAACGCCGCGUGAGUGAAGAAGGUUUUCGGAUCGUAAAGCUCUGUUGUAAGUCAAGAACGGGUGUGAGAGUGGAAAGUUCACACUGUGACGGUAGCUUACCAGAAAGGGACGGCUAACUACGUGCCAGCAGCCGCGGUAAUACGUAGGUCCCGAGCGUUGUCCGGAUUUAUUGGGCGUAAAGCGAGCGCAGGCGGUUUGAUAAGUCUGAAGUUAAAGGCUGUGGCUCAACCAUAGUUCGCUUUGGAAACUGUCAAACUUGAGUGCAGAAGGGGAGAGUGGAAUUCCAUGUGUAGCGGUGAAAUGCGUAGAUAUAUGGAGGAACACCGGUGGCGAAAGCGGCUCUCUGGUCUGUAACUGACGCUGAGGCUCGAAAGCAUGGGUAGCGAACAGGAUUAGAUACCCUGGUAGUCCAUGCCGUAAACGAUGAGUGCUAAGUGUUGGGAGGCUUCCGCCUCUCAGUGCUGCAGCUAACGCAUUAAGCACUCCGCCUGGGGGAGUACGACCGCAAGGUUGAAAC
rnacentral:rRNA from 1 species